CGCAGCAUAGAGAAAUGGCAUCUCGUCAGACUCAUUAUCUGAAGUUGCAGCUUCGACUCCUGUUGCUGCUA
rnacentral:tRNA from 1 species